GUUUCUUGAAGAGGAGAAGAGAGGAAAUGAACGAGGAAGAGGAGAAGGGAGCACAGAGGCGAGGGGCGAGAAGACAAAGUGCCUUCAUCUUCUUUGAAUCCCAUCGCCGUUCGGUCUUACUCGACUCGGAAACAAAGGUUUGAGGAUCUUGAAGAUGGAGGUAUCUGCGCUGGUGUUGGCUUGUGGCUUGAGGGUGGGAGCUGAUGAAAGGUACAAGAUUUGGUGUUGUAUUGGCAAUCCGUUGGCAUUGCAUUAUGCUUCCGAGGCUAAGUGCUUCACAGGGCCGUCUUCAGCAGAGGGCUGGAGCUGAUGGAACCAAUAAUAGGUCCCUGUAUGUCAUCAAGGUCGGACCUGUCCACAAUGCCAAGUGAUUUCUUUUCGAUUCUUACCACACCAUCGCUUUGGUAAGUCGAGUUUACUAAGAGUUUAGUUUAAUGAGACAGUUAGUUAAAUAAUGUCUAAAUGAUUCUACUAUAGUUGAUCUAUCAGUUAGUUAAUGAGACAGUUAAUUAGUCGAGAUAAAUGGUACUAAAAAUUGUUCAAUAAUGUUAAUUUCAGUUUUGAAAAUCCUAAUGGUUCUAAACGAUCAAAUAUGAGUCAGCAAACGUGUUUAUCAAAGAGAUUCUUCAAAGUAGCAGUCUGGAUUGAUGCAGAAUGAUAUUUGAGAAAGUUUCUUUGACGUCCAUGCAACUUCUUAUUAAUGUUCUUCGUUGGGACUCUCACUACCAACCACAAUGAAUCAUAAUUAUGUAGAAGUUUCUCUAAACUAAAUAUCCGGAAGUACACUGUCAAGCUUGGGUAGCUUCUUAGCAUAUACUUCAAGAUUGAGUAGCGAUAUUAUCAGACAAAUAGGAUGGAUGGAUCACAGCGACACUAAUCAAUAUGAAAAGAGGCAAAAUCAUCACAAAAACCAUAAGAACAUAGUGCUGCAACACCCAUAUAGCCGAAUACUUACAAGCAGACAGCUAGAGUGGCCCUCUGUGCAUCUUCACUGUAGUGCCAGAUUUAUUUUGCUGGAGCAUUGUUGGGAACUAGCUUAUUAAGUAAAUGUUUUUAUUUCUUUAGAUUAUUAGUUAUCGAAUUCAUCAUGGCAAUCAGAGUUCUGCAUUCACUAUCUCCCUCACCCCACAACAUGGAACUUGUGGUUCGUUUUAACAUUUCAUUCAGUGAUGUACUUCCAUGUGAUGACAUGAAUUUAUG